rnacentral:rRNA from 1 species
GAUGAACGCUGGCGGCGUGCCUUAGGCAUGCAAGUCGAAUGGGUCGCAAGACCAAUGGCGGACGGGUGAGUAACACGUAGGAAUCUACCCUAAAGUGGGGUAUAGCUCGUCGAAAGACGGGGUAAUCCCCCAUAUGGUAUUUAUACCAAAGGAUGUAACUAUUCGCUUUAGGAGGAGCCUGCGUCCUAUCAGCUAGUUGGUAGGGUAAAAGCCUACCAAGGCAAUGACGGGUAGGGGGUGUGAGAGCAUGACCCCCCACAAGGGCACUGAGAUACGGGCCCUACAUCUACGGAUGGCAGCAACCGGGAAUAGUUGGCAAUGGACGAAAGUCUGACCACGCGACGCCGCGUGCGGGAUGAAGGCCCUCGGGUCGUAAACCGCUUUUGCUGGGGAGGAAGCCCCGAUUUAUCGGGGUUGACAGUACCCAGAGAAUAAGCACCUGCAAACUACGUGCCAGCAGCCGCGGUGAUACGUAGGGUGCGAGCGUUAUCCGGAUUUACUGGGCGUAAAGAGUCACGUAGGCUGUUUAUCGCAUCUUGUCUAAAAGGCCAAGGCUUAACUUUGGUUUGGGACGAGAGAUGGAUAAGCUAGAAGAAGGUUGGGGGCUUCGGAAUUGUUGGUGAAGCAGUGAAAUGCGUUGAUAUCAACAAGAACACCAAUGGCGAAGGCAGAAGCCUAAUCCUUUCUUGACGCUGAAGCACGAAAGCUAGGGUAGCGAAGCAGAUUAGAGACCUGCGUAGUCCUAGCCCUAAACUAUGCUCGCUAGAUACCCCUUCGCAAAAUCGAAGAUUUUUUACAAAAUCGUCCUUUUUGCGACGGGGUGUCGCAGCUAACGCAUUAAGCGAGCCGCCUGGGGAGUACGAGCGCAAGCUUA